AACGUAGGUUCCGAGCGUUAUCCGGAUUUACUGGGCGUAAAGCGCGUUCAGGCGGUUUGGCAAGUCGGGCAUGAAAUCUCUCGGCUCAACCGGGAGAGGUUGUCCGAUACUGCUGGACUUGAGGGCAGUAGAGGGUGGUGGAAUUCCGGGUGUAGUGGUGAAAUGCGUAGAUAUCCGGAGGAACACCAGUGGCGUAAGCGGCCACCUGGACUGCACCUGACGCUGACACGCGAAAGCUAGGGGAGCGAACGGG
rnacentral:rRNA from 1 species